CCAUGUCCACCACGAGUCAAAAACAUUAACACUUCAUAAAAUGUGCGGCCGAACUAACAAGGUAUAAGGCUCAAGAGGAGAACGAUUUGCUCAUGCCUACGGCCUACCCACUUCGCACUUCGAACGACUCGGCCCUAAGAUGGGGCCUCCCGUUGAGCUCGAUCCAAGCAACCCGGAAAACAUUUGGCUUCACAGCGCAGUUUGUGCCCCUCCGCCGCCACCGCCGCGCGCGGUGGUUUCGUGUCGCGUCGGCCCUUUUGCGACCCCAUGUUGAAAUCAAGGAAGCCCGCUCUCACUCUGUCGAGCAACUGACGAGCGGCCUCGCCCUCCGUCCUCUUCCUUCCUCCAUUCACGGAGGUCCCCACUGACGAGCUCCAUCCACACGAGGCUCCAUCGAUCUCCACUUAGCGGAGGGUGGAAGCAGCAAGGAUUGGCGCAAGGACUUUGCACUUGGAGAACCUGUUCGAAAACUCUCUCCGGAGUCAUCAUUUACAUGAAGUGGUAUUCAUCAAGCUUCACCAGGGAGACUUUGUUUUCAGGAGAGAAAAACAAAAAAGAAGCAUGAAAAAGCUGAAUCAAAGAAACAUCGCUGAUGAGAAAACUCGAUCACUUGCAUUACUGCAUGUUGUCAGUUCUUUAUUAGUAGAGGCCUUAUCAUUAGUAUGCUGCAGAAAUAGUUCUGGUUGGAAAUACUGACUGUUUGACCACUCUUAGUGACAAGAUAAUGUGGUCUGUUUGGGUGUCUCUGUAAGAGGGACCUCCAUUUUAAGACAAAUGGUGUUGGACAAACAACACACUGCGCUCUGAUUGAGGUUGAAAUGCUACUGAUCCAUGAGAACUUCAUUCGAUGUUACUCAUCCUGGUUUAGAUUGAGUGCAAUUGUCAGGCA